rnacentral:rRNA from 1 species
UACGGAGGGGGCUAGCGUUGUUCGGAAUUACUGGGCGUAAAGCGCGCGUAGGCGGACCUGCAAGUCGGGGGUGAAAGCCCGAGGCUCAACCUCGGAACUGCCUCCGAUACUGCGGGUCUCGAGUCCGGGAGAGGUGAGUGGAAUUCCUAGUGUAGAGGUGAAAUUCGUAGAUAUUAGGAAGAACACCAGUGGCGAAGGCGGCUCAGCUGGCCCGGUACUGACGCGUGAGGCGACGAAGCGUGGGGAGCAAACAGG